UGGUAUGGAUAUGGCUUAUAGCAAAACAGAGCGAAAGCAGAAAAUGGAGAAAAUCCAUGUUAUGUUAUUCUUUACAAAUUAAAUAAAUGUCAGACUGA